UACGUAGGGGGCGAGCGUUGUCCGGAAUCAUUGGGCGUAAAGCGCGUGUAGGCGGCCCGGUAAGUCCGCUGUGAAAGUCCAGGGCUCAACCCUGGGAUGCCGGUGGAUACUGUCGGGCUCGAGUCCGGAAGAGGCGAGUGGAAUUCCUGGUGUAGCGGUGAAAUGCGCAGAUAUCAGGAGGAACACCAAUGGCGAAGGCAGCUCGCUGGGACGUGACUGACGCUCAUGCACGACAGCGUGGGGAUCAAACAGG
rnacentral:rRNA from 1 species